UACGAGGGGGGCGAGCGUUGUUCGGAAUUAUUGGGCGUAAAGGGUGCGUAGGCGGUUUGGUAAGUCUUGUGUGAAAUCUACAGGCUCAACUUGUAGUCUGCACGAGAAACUGCCGGGCUUGAGUAUGGGAGAGGUGAGUGGAAUUCCUGGUGUAGCGGUGAAAUGCGUAGAUAUCAGGAGGAACACCUGUGGCGAAAGCGGCUCACUGGACCAUAACUGACGCUGAUGCACGAAAAGCUAGGGGGAGCAAACAGG
rnacentral:rRNA from 1 species